GGCCCCGUAGCUCAGUGGAUAGAGCAAUGGUUUCCUAAACCAUGUGCCGGGUGUUCGAGUCACCCCGGGGCCACCA
rnacentral:tRNA from 1 species